rnacentral:rRNA from 1 species
CCGUAGCCCAAGAGAUCGGGAUAACACCUGGAAACAGAUGCUAAUACCGGAUAACAACAGAUGAUGCCUAUCAACUGUUUAAAAGAUGGUUCUGCUAUCACUCUUGGAUGGACCUGCGGUGCAUUAGCUAGUUGGUAGGGUAACGGCCUACCAAGGCGAUGAUGCAUAGCCGAGUUGAGAGACUGAUCGGCCACAUUGGGACUGAGACACGGCCCAAACUCCUACGGGAGGCAGCAGAG